UUAGGCACAGAGAAAGCUUCUUGUUCUUUAAGGAUUUGGCUCACAAAUAACGCCAAGCCAGGGCCAAGGCAACUAGCUUGCACCCUGACAGGAUAGUAGACAGACUUCUGCAUUUGAGUGUGUUUGGGGGAUAUUUCUGCAUCUUUCCGCAUUUUGGGCUCUUUCCUCAUCACCUCCUCUCUCUCCGUCUACUUUCUAAUUUCAUCCUACUCCAAAGAUGGGUGACUAUUUUUACCAUUUUUCUCUUCUUUAUUUUACUCUAAAUUGACAGGAUUUUAAGGAUUAACUGAUGGCCCAUUCUUUGUGUUUUGUCUGUGUGAAAUAGAAGUGAAGGCAUGGCCCUCAGCAGGCCUCCAUCAUACAGAGUCUAGCAAACUGCUAGCAAUCGCCUUAAAACAGCUGUAAAUACUUGUCCAGUGAACUCCUCCCGCUGCCAUGAAGGAACUUUAAUCCAGCUGGAAGAACAAAUGCUGUGGGCUCCCUGAAGUGGUGCAACGCCGGGUCAUUGGAGAGCUACUGCAUCGUGUUUGGGAACAGAACAGUCUGUGUUAUUUCAGCACAGCCUGUUGGAUGAAGGGCCAUUUCACAGGCAUGUUGGAUUAAUCUUUGGCAGGAUCUCUCCAGGAUCAAACUAAAUUGGAUGUUUAACCUCACGUGUCCUCGAGCUGAGAGGUAUUUUGUGAUAAACCAGGAUAGAGAGGAUUGAAUCUGACCCACAUUGGGUUAAACAUAACAUACUUGUACAUUUAUUUGAACUGAAUCCUUAUGAAAUGAUGAAAAUAAAGUGUGUAUACACAGGUGAGUGUAAUCUAAACCCUGAAAAAAUAAUUAAAUUCAUAACAUUAUGUUAAUGCAAUAGAUCACUCAGUGCAAAAAGAAGACAUAGUUAGGCCUCUGUCCAGUCUUUGACCCUAGUCCACUUUUUAUUUUUAUUAUAAAUAAAAUACUUUUGAAUAUUCA